UGGUCUUCGUAUAUAUAAUGAUCUAGCACGCUCCUCUUUCUUUAUUACUGAUAGGACGCUCCUUGUAGCUCAUAAAAGGUGAUCUGAUUCUCUUUUGAUCUUCAUCAAGAAUGUAUAGAAACUUUCCAAAAGUGUUUAAGGACUUUAUAGGAUAAUUGUGAUCAUACCGUUGUACCAUUAAGUCCUAUCUUAUCCUUAAAAUACCUGAUCAGAUCA
rnacentral:lncRNA from 1 species